UUUUAAUUGAGAGAAGAUGGCGAAAGACCUCUGAAGGGAGACCCUCACUCAAGUCUCGGGAUAAUAGUGGACCCCCAAGAACUCACGAGAGACC
rnacentral:pre_miRNA from 7 species